UAUAAUAUAAUGUAAUAUAAUAUACAUAAUAUAUAUAAUGAGGGGGAACAGCCAAUGAGACCUCAGUUAUCGCCAGAAGGUCCCUGGAGAUGCAUAUGGAGGGGUCCAGCCAGCAGGCAUUCUGUUUCCUAACUGCCUGCUACAUAGUAAAUAAACGAAAGGCCAUUUGUUUGCUGGUGUGCAUCCAGAAAUAAGCACUGUUCUCCCUCCCAGCCUCCAAGCAGAGGCAGAGGAAUCAGCCUUUAUUUUCCCUCCCAGGCCACUGGCCCACGAGUACACAGGCUAUGCUCUUGCUUUUUCUCUCUGCCAUGUCCCUUCUUUCCUGCCCAAAAUGUAAAGUAUUGGAGAAGGAACCAUCUUGUGAGAUUCAGAAGGACUCUAGAGGUCCAGGGCUAGGAGUUCUAGGGCAGAGGUUUCCAUAGCAACCACGACCAAUCUGACUGAGGCAGCCGGUGGAGCUACCUGUGAGAUCCAGAAGAUCAGGGAAUCAGCCAGGUGGCCAAGAUGUGUCAUGCCCAAAAGGAACCGAGUGACUCUAUCAGCAAGGAUGAAUGCAGUGGCUACAAAAAUCAUUUGGUGUGAUGGAACAAAAAUCCAUCUUAAAGAUUUUCCAGAAGUGAGGUGUCUCCCAUGCUAAUGUGAACCGGUUCAAGAUUCCUUGAUGUAUAUGAUGGCAAAAAUGACUUUGUUCAAUGACCCAUCUGAUUAUUAACAUCAAGAGAGGAAUAAAACAGGGUGAAACAUGAUUGCCAAAGGUGUUUGUCUCCAUUGAGGAGGAUGUCCUGCAUGGCUGCCAAAUAAAAGAACAUUUUGCAAUUGAUGGUCUUUACUUGAUACCAUUGAGCUGUGGACAGAGGACUUGGAGAAGACAUAAGAGAGAAGAAGAAAUGGGACAAUGGACAUUGCCCUG